rnacentral:miRNA from 3 species
GCAGGGACAGCAAAGGGGUGC